UGAACUGGCGGGUACGAAUCUGACAUGAAGGGGAAAAUAAUCUCCAGAACGCGAGUGCUAUGGACGUUUUUAUCCCGUAUAAUAUUAUUAAUAAGUCCCGCGUCCAAAACGCACAAGCACAACUUUUUAUUUUUUUGGCACAGCUAUAUAAUAAUAAUAAUAUCGUACGAUCGUUGUUUAAAAGCGUUCGUAAAAACCUCAUACAGGUACCUAAAAUAGUAGAGAACGUGUAGGUGUACCUAUCUAUCUCAUGGCGCGAAAAAGGUAAAGCCGCAGAAAGUUUUCACGCGCCCUUUCACGAUAAAUCAUUACUCGUGUGAUGUCGGGGGUUUUUUUUUUAUCAUUACUCGUCACCGACCAUUUUUUUUGCGGUUU